GUGUUCUUAGUAUACUCCAGUACACUUACCUUCCAAGUAAGAAGAUUAAUUACUUAAAAAACACA
rnacentral:tRNA from 1 species